AACGAACGCUGGCGGCAGGCUUAACACAUGCAAGUCGAGCGGGCCCUUCGGGGUCAGUGGCAGACGGGUGAGUAACGCGUGGGAACGUGCCCUUCAGUUCGGGAUAACCCAGGGAAACUUGGGCUAAUACCGGAUACGUGCGAGAGCAGAAAGAUUUAUCGCUGAAGGAUCGGCCCGCGUCUGAUUAGCUGGUUGGUGGGGUAAUGGCCCACCAAGGCGACGAUCAGUAGCUGGUCUGAGAGGAUGAUCAGCCACAUUGGGACUGAGACACGGCCCAAACUCCUACGGGAGGCAGCAGUGGGGAAUAUUGGACAAUGGGCGCAAGCCUGAUCCAGCCAUGCCGCGUGAGCGAUGACGGCCUUAGGGUUGUAAAGCUCUUUCGCACGCGACGAUAAUGACGGUAGCGUGAGAAGAAGCCCCGGCUAACUUCGUGCCAGCCGCCGCAGUAA
rnacentral:rRNA from 1 species